rnacentral:lncRNA from 1 species
GGUCCUCACUGAAAUUUACUCCUAAAUAUUUGCUGGUUGGUACAGUUUCGAGAGUGUGGCCAUGUAAUUUGUAGAAUGUCUCUUUUUUGGAUUUACUGUUGGUGCUAAUGCGGAUGACAGUGCAUUUUUCUGGGUGGAAUUUCAUCUGCCAUUUGGUUUCCCAGUCUUCUAGUGCUGAAAGGUCCUGUUGUAGUUUGGCUUCAUCCUGGGAAUUCUUGAUAUGGUGGAAUAGUAGGCAGUCGUCAGCAAAUAGUUUGACAGUUGAAUGUUGAACUGUUUCUG